rnacentral:rRNA from 1 species
AGCACAGGUUUACCUGUGUGACUGCGUACCUUUUGUAUAAUGGGUCAGCGACUUAUAUUCUGUAGCAAGGUUAACCGAAUAGGGGAGCCGGAGGGAAACCGAGUCUUAAUUGGGCGUUAAGUUGCAGGGUAUAGACCCGAAACCCGGUGAUCUAGCCAUGGGCAGGUUGAAGGUUGGGUAACACUAACUGGAGGACCGAACCGACUAAUGUUGAAAAAUUAGCGGAUGACCUGUGGCUGGGGGUGAAAGGCCAAUCAAACCGGGAGAUAGCUGGUUCUCCCCGAAAGCUAUUUAGGUAGCGCCUCGUGAAUUCAUCUCCGGGGGUAGAGCACUGUUUCGGCUAGGGGGCCAUCCCGGCUUACCAACCCGAUGCAAACUGCGAAUACCGGAGAAUGUUAUCACGGGAGACACACGGCGGGUGCUAACGUCCGUCGUGAAGAGGGAAACAACCCAGACCGCCAGCUAAGGUCCCAAAGUCAUGGUUAAGUGGGAAACGAUGUGGGAAGGCCCAGACAGCCAGGAUGUUGGCUUAGAAGCAGCCAUCAUUUAAAGAAAGCGUAAUAGCUCACUGGUCGAGUCGGCCUGCGCGGAAGAUGUAACGGGGCUAAACCAUGCACCGAAGCUGCGGCAGCGACGCUUAUGCGUUGUUGGGUAGGGGAGCGUUCUGUAAGCCUGUGAAGGUGGCCUGUGAGGGUUGCUGGAGGUAUCAGAAGUGCGAAUGCUGACAUAAGUAACGAUAAAGCGGGUGAAAAGCCCGCUCGCCGGAAGACCAAGGGUUCCUGUCCAACGUUAAUCGGGGCAGGGUGAGUCGACCCCUAAGGCGAGGCCGAAAGGCGUAGUCGAUGGGAAACGGGUUAAUAUUCCCGUACUUGGUGUUACUGCGAAGGGGGGACGGAGAAGGCUAUGUUGGCCGGGCGACGGUUGUCCCGGUUUAAGCGUGUAGGUGUGUGUUCCAGGUAAAUCCGGUUCACUUUAACACUGAGGCGUGAUGACGAGGCACUACGGUGCUGAAGUAACAAAUGCCCUGCUUCCAGGAAAAGCCUCUAAGCAUCAGGUAACAUCAAAUCGUACCCCAAACCGACACAGGUGGUCAGGUAGAGAAUACCAAGGCGCUUGAGAGAACUCGGGUGAAGGAACUAGGCAAAAUGGUGCCGUAACUUCGGGAGAAGGCACGCUGACAC